rnacentral:rRNA from 1 species
GGUGCUGCAUGGCUGUCGUCAGGCUCGUGUCGUGAGAUGUUGGGUUAAGUCCGCUAACGAGCGCAGCCCUCACUGUGUGUUAUACGUGUCACACGGGACUGCCGGUUUUAAGCCGGAGGAAGGCGAGGAUGAAGUCAAGUCAGCAUGGCCUUUAUAUCUUGGGCUACACACACGCUACAAUGGUCUGUACAACAGGUUGCCAAGCCGCGAGGCGGAGCCAAUCCUAAAAGCAGGCCUCAGUUCAGAUUGUAGGCUGCAACCCGCCUGCAUGAAGAUGGAGUUGCUAGUAACCGCAGGUCAGCUAUACUGCGGUGAAUACGUUCCCGGGUCUU